GAAGUGCGAUAAGUAGUGUGAAUUGCAGAAUUCAGUGAAUCAUCGAACCCUUGAACGCAACUGGCGCCUUCGGGUUAACCUGAAGGCAUGCCUGUUUGAGUGUCGGUUCACCAUCACAUACCAAAAAUAUGUGGAUUUGGCCGAUUAAGUCAAAGGAAACUUUGACUCAUAGGCUUAAAUAGAUAGAUUCAUCGGUUCGUUGACCGGCUCAUUAAUCUGUAACGCUUUAAGUACCCUUCGGGGUCUGAGUUACGGAUAAAAGUCCGGAUCAAAAUACCGAGCUCGAUGAAUAAACGAGACAAAGGGUUACACACCCUUUGAAAUUACCAAAAAACAUCGACCUCAAAUCAGGCAGGGAAACCCGCUGAAUUUAA
rnacentral:misc_RNA from 1 species